CUAUACUGCAGUCGAGCGACAGAUAAGGAGCUUGCUCCUUUGACGUUAGCGGCGGACGGGUGAGUAACACGUGGAUAACCUACCUAUAAGACUGGGAUAACUUCGGGAAACCGGAGCUAAUACCGGAUAACAUAUUGAACCGCAUGGUUCAAUAGUGAAAGGCGGCUUUGCUGUCACUUAUAGAUGGAUCCGCGCCGUAUUAGCUAGUUGGUAAGGUGACGGCUUACCAAGGCAACGAUACGUAGCCGACCUGAGAGGGUGAUCGGCCACACUGGAACUGAGACACGGUCCAGACUCCUACGGGAGGCAGCAGUAGGGAAUCUUCCGCAAUGGGCGAAAGCCUGACGGAGCAACGCCGCGUGAGUGAUGAAGGUCUUCGGAUCGUAAAACUCUGUUAUCAGGGAAGAACAAAUGUGUAAGUAACUGUGCACAUCUUGACGGUACCUGAUCAGAAAGCCACGGCUAACUACGUGCCAGCAGCCGCGGUAAUACGUAGGUGGCAAGCGUUAUCCGGAAUUAUUGGGCGUAAAGCGCGCGUAGGCGGUUUUUUAAGUCUGAUGUGAAAGCCCACGGCUCAACCGUGGAGGGUCAUUGGAAACUGGAAAACUUGAGUGCAGAAGAGGAAAGUGGAAUUCCAUGUGUAGCGGUGAAAUGCGCAGAGAUAUGGAGGAACACCAGUGGCGAAGGCGACUUUCUGGUCUGUAACUGACGCUGAUGUGCGAAAGCGUGGGGAUCAAACAGGAUUAGAUA
rnacentral:rRNA from 1 species